GACGAACGCUGGCGGCGUGCUUAACACAUGCAAGUCGAACGGAAAGGCCCUGCUUUUGUGGGGUGCUCGAGUGGCGAACGGGUGAGUAACACGUGAGUAACCUGCCCUUGACUUUGGGAUAACUUCAGGAAACUGGGGCUAAUACCGGAUAUGAGCUCCUGCUGCAUGGUGGGGGUUGGAAAGUUUCGGCCGUUGGGGCUGGACUAGCGGCUUAUCCGCUGGUUGGUGGGGUAGUGGCUUACCAGGGCUUUGACGGGUAGCCGGCCUGGGAGGGUGACCGGCCACAUUGGGACUGAGAUACGGCCCAGACUCCUACGGGAGACAGCAGUGGGGAAUAUUGCACAAUGGGCGGAAGCCUGAUGCAGUAACGCCGCGUGCGGGAUGACGGCCUUCGGGUUGUAAACCGCUUUCGCCUGUGACGAAGCGUGAGUGACGGUAAUGGGUAAAGAAGCACCGGCUAACUACGUG
rnacentral:rRNA from 1 species